UGAACACUGCUCUCCAAAACG
rnacentral:piRNA from 1 species